AUGUAGGCACAGGGUGGGCGGAGGCUUUGUGCUCUCACUGAUACACACCACCUCGCCGUCUCCCUCACAUCACACCUCGCCUCCGCGAGCUUCCUCUCGACUUUGCCCACCUCGCCUUCUCUUUGCGGCAGUCAACAUCGAUCCCCUUCUCUGUUCAAGUUCAUAGGCCCCGCCUCCCCUCUCUCAAUUCGUACUUGGUAGGGACCAAAGCUCGAUUCGCCGCGGUUCAAGUACCCAGCAACAAUGGCGGAAUGGGUUUGCAGAGCCCUUCGAGACGGUGCGUUGGAAGGCGAGCAUGCACCUGCUCUCACAAUCAAGGACUCAAUAGUCUCACCUCUCGGCUUCCAAGUUUUUGGUCACGUCCUCUCCCAGCUCUCCACCAACAUUUCAGCCGGAAAAUCUCAGUCACGAGGUCUUGUGCUCGUCGCGUUUUCUCGGAGUCCGUUGUAUUAUGUGAAUUUGUUGAAGAGGAGAGGACUCGAUAAUUCCUCUCAGCAACGGAUUCAGAUUUUGGAUUGUUACACGGACCCUCUUGGAUGGAGAGAAGGGCUCGUGGAGUGUGGAAGUGCGAAAAAUCUCCCUCAUGAAGUUUACAAAGCAGCUAGUGUUUGCAGGAAUGUGAAGGAUGUGGACACGUUGCUCUCUUCAAUUAUUUCACUUGGAGAAGGAUUGGUUGGACAAGGGAAAGUUAGUUUCAGUGUUGCGAUAGAUUCGGUAAAUGAAAUGUCAAGGCAUGCAACUUUGUCAUCAGUUUCUGGCCUUUUAAACAACCUUCGCUGCUGUGAGCAAAUUUCAAGCAUCUUUUGGUUUUUCCAUGCGGAUCUUUGUGAAGAAAGGGUCGCUGCUGUUAUUGAAUACAUGUCCUCUAUGGUGGCCAGCAUAGAACCAUUAAUCCCAUUUACAAAUGGACACAGAGGUAAUUCAGAGAAUCUUUCUUUAGCUGAACAGAAUUUUACACAAGGGAAAUUUCAUGUCAGAUGCAAACGUAGAAAUGGACGUGUCCGAGUGAUGUUUGAAGAAAUUCAUGUUGGGCAGUCGGGCAUCAGCUUCACAUCCCCUUCAUCUGAAGAUGGAGUAAUCAAUCAAGUCAAUCAAGCCCUUUUGCCGAAGGUGCAAUUCAAUCUACAGCUGUCAGAGAAAGAGAAAAAUGAUAGGGCCAAGGUUGUACUUCCAUUUGAACACCAAGGAAAUGGUAAACCCGUACAAAUUUAUGAUGGUCGAAAAUCUCUGAUGGAUAGCAAAUAUGAGGCUGCACCUGCUUCAACUGUGAAUCCAAACACCAAUGACGAGUCUAGCAAGGGUGAAAUAAUAUAUUUUCGCGAUUCAGAAGAUGAGAUGCCGGAUUCUGAUGAGGAUCCUGAUGAUGAUUUGGAUAUUUAGUGGUUUUUCCUCAUUCAGAAUACUAGAAAACAGUAAUUCAUUUUCUCCAUGUUUGAUUGGGAUUUGGGAAUCCAAUUGUCAUGUAUGGUCAAUCAAGUGGGAGGAAAUAUGUUAUAAAUUUUCGAAGACCGAAGGAUGAUAGUGGGAAUGAGUCUGAGAUCUAGAAAGCCAAACAAAUAUCAGAAGAUAGAAGGUUGUAAAUUUCUUGCGCUCACACCACACACUGCUUGUUCUCUUGCUCACAUGGAUUUCAACCUUACCCAUUUUCCUGCUUUUAAUCCUUUGUAUGCGAUGAAGUAACCAUCGGGUUAAUUGACUAGUGCUAGAAUAGUAUUUGGAAGGGGAGAAACAUUUGCCGCAGGUGAACUGUAUCGAUUUUGUCCCCGAAAUCUGAAGUCGAUCCUUACUGGCUGUCUGAUAUAUCGGAAGCUUUUGUUACCGGAAAAUAUAAAUUCAGAUGUUAAAGGUUUUGCAUUCUA